GCUUGUCUUUCUGUCCCUUGUAGAUUUCUCUACUGGGUCACCAGAGCAAGCCCCAUUCAACCAAAAUAGGCUGCCUAUCACAGUCCCACCUUUUGAGUUUGGUAGAAAGGAAGGAAGAACUUCAUUUAAAGUGCUGGCAACAACAGCCUAUCAGAAUUCAAAAAGAUGAGGACUUCUUUCUACUGCAAAACGUUUACAUCGGGAAAACAAUUAAUUGCCUUUGUUGUAGAACAUUACCCAUGUGGCAAACUGAUUUGAAAACUAACACUACUGCACUUGCAAAUCUGAAGCAAAAACAUUGUAGUCUCACAUGCUGAGAACCUGAGGCUAACAAAAAGUUGGGGGAAAACACCUAACUUAUACAAAGUCAUUGGUGAAUGUGCUAAAUAGCUGUGAAGUGAGUGGAGACAAGCCUCCAUUUAAUCAUUACUUAAUGUUCUCUAAAAGUCCAGGGACGUCAACCUUGUGCAGAUCUUUUAGCAGGAAGGCUAAAUAUGUUCCAUUAACACAUGUGCAAGCUGUGAGCACAUUAAGUAGCCAAUCAAAUGCCUAGUCCAAUUUUCUGUCUUACAUUGAAUGCAUUUUUCUACCUGUUUUAGGAUUAAUUCAUGUUUCCAUUAACUGAGAGUCACCCAGCUCUAUUAGCAUAUCUGAUAUUAUGUUCAGGGCCAUGAAGAAAUUUGGAGAAUAGUUGAACUAUGUCUUUAAGAUCAUUACAGAAGAAAUGGAAAUGCAGACAAUUUGAGACCAGGGGAAAAUAUGAAAUGACAGAAACAAAGGCACAUGAGAAAGCUCUCUGUUGCCUACUAUGGACAACUGAAGAAGGCUUCAAGUGACCUUUGACCUGAGUCCUACUAAGAAGUUACCCCCACCACUUAACAAGCACUCUUGUGUCACUCAAAGCAAUGUUCAUUUUCCAAUGUAACAACUACAGUGGCUGAAUGAAGUGGCUUUUCCCUUAACUGUUAAUCUGUGAUAACUGAGCCUUAUGAAGUCUAAGAUCUAAUAGUUUAGAAAUGUCCACUGCAACACAUGACCAAAUACUCCUACUGCCAUGAUGAGAAUGAACAACAUCAGACCUCUCUGCUCCAAAGGGCUUGAGAAAGCUGUAGUAUGAGGGGGAUAUUCAUAUUGUUCCUGGUUCAGCAAUCACCUUGAUUCCAGCUGUUAUAUGUCGGCACCUGUUAUAUUUUGGACCUUGUACAAUGUGUGUGGAGU
rnacentral:lncRNA from 1 species